rfam:Oscillibacter valericigenes Sjm18-20 DNA, complete genome.
GAGAGCCGGAUACAUUGAGAGGUGUAAGUCCGGUUCGGGGGCGGGUGCUUGGAAACCUGCCGCUGUGAAGCGGUAAGGCGCUGGGUACCCAGCCUAC